rnacentral:rRNA from 1 species
GACAGAGGAUGCAAGCGUUAAUCGGAAUUACUGGGCGUAAAGCGCGCGUAGGUGGUUUGUUAAGUUGAAUGUGAAAUCCCCGGGCUCAACCUGGGAACUGCAUCCAAAACUGGCAAGCUAGAGUAUGGUAGAGGGUAGUGGAAUUUCCUGUGUAGCGGUGAAAUGCGUAGAUAUAGGAAGGAACACCAGUGGCGAAGGCGACUACCUGGACUGAUACUGACACUGAGGUGCGAAAGCGUGGGGAGCAAACAGG